rnacentral:rRNA from 1 species
AUACGUAGGGUGCGAGCGUUGUCCGGAAUUACUGGGCGUAAAGAGCUCGUAGGUGGUUUGUCGCGUCGUCUGUGAAAUUCCAGGGCUUAACUCCGGGCGUGCAGGCGAUACGGGCAUAACUUGAGUACUGUAGGGGAGACUGGAAUUCCUGGUGUAGCGGUGAAAUGCGCAGAUAUCAGGAGGAACACCGGUGGCGAAGGCGGGUCUCUGGGCAGUAACUGACGCUGAGGAGCGAAAGCAUGGGUAGCGAACAGGAUUAGAUCCCCUGGUAGUCCAUGCCGUAAACGGUGGGCGCUAGGUGUAGGGGUCUUCCACGACUUCUGUGCCGUAGCUAACGCAUUAAGCGCCCCGCCUGGGGAGUACGGCCGCAAGGCUAAAACUCAAAUGAAUUGACGGGG